GACUGCCUGCACCAGCAAUGACGAGUCGUCCGUCAGGUCAGAGUAGCAGCGACCGAAGGGAGAUAUUGGGUGCACAGCAGUGCCACCUGCACCAUCUCCUCCAGUUCGACGCGGUCGUAGUUGCUUCUCAGGCCCUUGUCGACAAGCACAUCAAGCUUCUUCUCCUGGUGCAUCUUCUUCACCUGAACACAAUCCAAUGUCAAGGCAAGAGACAAGACUUGGUAGACAGUUUGACCUGUGAUCAACUCAAGCAGUAGGAUUCCAAAACCAAAGACGUCGGUUUUCUCAGAUGACUGGCCGGUGGAGAGGUAUUCCGGGGCAAUGUGCCCAACGGUGCCCCUAACGGCUGUGGUGACAUGUGAGUCGCGGUGAUCCAGGAGCUUGGCAAGCCCAAAAUCUCCGACAAUAGCUUCACAGUAGUCAUCGAGCAAUAUGUUGGCUGCCUUUACAUCCCUAUGAAUUAUCUUGGGGUCACACUGCUCAUGCAGGUACAGUAGUCCUCUUGCUGCACCGAGUGCUAUCCUCUUUCUAGUGAUCCAGUCCAGUGGUGGCUUCCCUGCAAUUAGUCACGAGAGAACAAAAUUGGUUAUAUACUUAUAUGGGAAUCAUAUUCUUUCUAAAAAGAGUUUGGCCAAUGAAAACGAUAUAGAAACGAAAGGAUCAAAUAAGAAGCUAUCUUGUGAAGAAUGGAGACGCAAUGCAACACUCCCAUUUGACAUGUAUGGAUAUACCAGAAGCCUCUCAGUAGCAGUCAUGCAGAAUCCAUAAAGUCUGAGGAGGUUCCUGUGCAGCGCCAAGCUGAUCAUCUCAACUUCAGUCUGGAACUGUGCCUGCCCGCCUGCAGCAUUACCGUCUUUCAGCCUCUUUACAGCUACCACAGUUCCAUCUGGGAGCUUUCCUCGGUUGACAUUCUCUGUGUGUUGCUCUGCAAUAACCAAUGCGUUACGACAAAAACAACCGUGGCAUGCUAGUAACUGAUACCAGGAUGCUCCCAAAUUUCACAAGCAUUGAGGCAUUAUGGAUUUAUGACUUAAAUCAGUAUUGGCAUUUUACUUACCAUCAAU